GACGGGGGCCCGCACAAGCGGAGGAACAUGUGGUUUAAUUCGAUGAUACGCGAGGAACCUUACCCGGGCUUGAACUGCAGCAGAACGAUUGAGAGAUCAUGAGGCCCUUCGGGGCUGCUGUGGAGGUGCUGCAUGGUUGUCGUCAGCUCGUGCCGUGAGGUGUCGGCUUAAGUGCCAUAACGAGCGCAACCCCUUUCGCCAGUUGCCAUCAGGUGAUGCUGGGCACUCCGGCGACACUGCCACCGUAAGGUGUGAGGAAGGUGGGGAUGACGUCAAAUCAGCACGGCCCUUACGUCCGGGGCUACACACGUGUUACAAUGGGUGGUACAGAGAGUCAGCGGCCGGCAACGUCCGCUCAAUCAUGAAAGCCAUCCUCAGUUCGGAUUGGGGUCUGCAACCCGACCCCAUGAAGCUGGAUUCGCUAGUAAUCGCGCAUCAGCCAUGGCGCGGUGAAUACGUUCCCGGGCCUUGUACACACCGCCCGUCAAGCCAUGAAAGCCGGGGGCGCCUGAAGUCCGUGACCGCGAGGGUCGGCCUAGGGUGAAACCGGUGAUUGGGGCUAAGUCGUAACAAGGUAGCCGUACCGGAA
rnacentral:rRNA from 1 species